rnacentral:lncRNA from 1 species
AUGAGUGAAAAGCGGCACGUCUAUAACUACACCAAACACAUCCCUCUGCUGUGGAUGGAGAAAGCUAUAGAGGCCACAGUCACACAGAAAAAAGCCAGAGGGAGGAAAAAAAUGAGGACGAAAAAUAGAAACACAGACAGAAGAACGAGUGCGGGGGUCUCUUAUGCUUUUCUACAGAGAAUCCGCUUCUGUCUACAACACAAUACAGCACGAAGAGACGUCUCAGUCUUUUCCUCUUUCAAAAUAAAAGCAAAAACUUACUCUGUGUGUAUUUUUACUGUACAUAUUUACACACGCACAAACAAACGGAGGGGAGGAGGAGCAGGGCGGGGUCAGGUGGUUGAGUUCAUGUCAUGGGUUAUGGGCUAUAACUGGUGAUACAAUAUGGGUUACCUAUAUUGGAGAGAAAGCAUCUAAGCCUACAGAAGGAAUUAAAAUCACUGCCCCCUCGCAUGCUUUUCCUCUCAGAUCUGACUUCUGUUCUUCUCGUCUUUUCAGUAGGAGGAGGUUGCCGAUAAACAGGGUUGUCUCAUGCAUACAGUGUUGGAGUUUCUACAGUGAUUCACGUGCGUCAAAAUGAUCCAACAAAUCCAGAGAUGCAGUGUGAUACGAUGACCUGCUCCUGGCUCCACUGCUCCUUUUUAGAGAGGAGCUCAAAACAGGGGAAGAGGGGGAGGGAGGGGGAGGGAGGGGGGGGGGGGGAACGGUGAGUAUGACGAGAGAGGAUGUAAAGAGGUUGAGGUUUAAGGACAGGUAAGGGUGGGAGGAUUGGAGUGGAGGGGGUUUCCAGUCCCAUAAAUGAGGCCUGAGCAGACAGGAACAGCUCAGUCUGAGCUCCAGCUGGUCUGGAGUGGAUGUGGAGCUGGUUUCUCCGAUGGCAAUCCGCAUCGUCUUGUAGAGAUCCACUGAAUGACGCCGUUUGGCAAGACAGCCUCGGAGAUGCUUGUACACACUCACUCACACACACCUUUGCCUAUUUCCACUCCAGUGGGGGGCUUUCUCUCUAUUCCUCUUAAAUCGCUUAGAGUCAAUUUUGUUUCAUUUUGUGUUUUUCAUUCAUAGAAAAAGAGACACAAGUGUAGUUCCUUGAGGUCUUUUG